AAAUUGAAGAGUUUGAUCAUGGCUCAGAUUGAACGCUGGCGGCAGGCCUAACACAUGCAAGUCGAACGGUAACAGGAAGCAGCUUGCUGCUUUGCUGACGAGUGGCGGACGGGUGAGUAAUGUCUGGGAAACUGCCUGAUGGAGGGGGAUAACUACUGGAAACGGUGGCUAAUACCGCAUAACGUCGCAAGACCAAAGAGGGGGACCUUCGGGCCUCUUGCCAUCAGAUGUGCCCAGAUGGGAUUAGCUUGUUGGUGAGGUAACGGCUCACCAAGGCGACGAUCCCUAGCUGGUCUGAGAGGAUGACCAGCCACACUGGAACUGAGACACGGUCCAGACUCCUACGGGAGGCAGCAGUGGGGAAUAUUGCACAAUGGGCGCAAGCCUGAUGCAGCCAUGCCGCGUGUAUGAAGAAGGCCUUCGGGUUGUAAAGUACUUUCAGCGGGGAGGAAGGUGUUGUGGUUAAUAACCGCAGCAAUUGACGUUACCCGCAGAAGAAGCACCGGCUAACUCCGUGCCAGCAGCCGCGGUAAUACGGAGGGUGCAAGCGUUAAUCGGAAUUACUGGGCGUAAAGCGCACGCAGGCGGUCUGUCAAGUCGGAUGUGAAAUCCCCGGGCUCAACCUGGGAACUGCAUUCGAAACUGGCAGGCUUGAGUCUUGUAGAGGGGGGUAGAAUUCCAGGUGUAGCGGUGAAAUGCGUAGAGAUCUGGAGGAAUACCGGUGGCGAAGGCGGCCCCCUGGACAAAGACUGACGCUCAGGUGCGAAAGCGUGGGGAGCAAACAGGAUUAGAUACCCUGGUAGUCCACGCCGUAAACGAUGUCUACUUGGAGGUUGUGCCCUUGAGGCGUGGCUUCCGGAGCUAACGCGUUAAGUAGACCGCCUGGGGAGUACGGCCGCAAGGUUAAAACUCAAAUGAAUUGACGGGGGCCCGCACAAGCGGUGGAGCAUGUGGUUUAAUUCGAUGCAACGCGAAGAACCUUACCUGGUCUUGACAUCCACAGAACUUUCCAGAGAUGGAUUGGUGCCUUCGGGAACUGUGAGACAGGUGCUGCAUGGCUGUCGUCAGCUCGUGUUGUGAAAUGUUGGGUUAAGUCCCGCAACGAGCGCAACCCUUAUCCUUUGUUGCCAGCGGUCCGGCCGGGAACUCAAAGGAGACUGCCAGUGAUAAACUGGAGGAAGGUGGGGAUGACGUCAAGUCAUCAUGGCCCUUACGACCAGGGCUACACACGUGCUACAAUGGCGCAUACAAAGAGAAGCGACCUCGCGAGAGCAAGCGGACCUCAUAAAGUGCGUCGUAGUCCGGAUUGGAGUCUGCAACUCGACUCCAUGAAGUCGGAAUCGCUAGUAAUCGUGGAUCAGAAUGCCACGGUGAAUACGUUCCCGGGCCUUGUACACACCGCCCGUCACACCAUGGGAGUGGGUUGCAAAAGAAGUAGGUAGCUUAACCUUCGGGGGGGCGCUUACCACUUUGUGAUUCAUGACUGGGGUGAAGUCGUAACAAGGUAACCGUAGGGGAACCUGCGGUUGGAUCACCUCCUUACCUU
rnacentral:rRNA from 1 species